rnacentral:rRNA from 1 species
AGCGAACGCUGGCGGCAGGCCUAACACAUGCAAGUCGAACGAACUCUUCGGAGUUAGUGGCGGACGGGUGAGUAACACGUGGGAACGUGCCUUUUGGUUCGGAAUAACUCAGGGAAACUUGUGCUAAUACCGAAUGUGCCCUUCGGGGGAAAGAUUUAUCGCCAUUAGAGCGGCCCGCGUCUGAUUAGCUAGUUGGUGAGGUAACGGCUCACCAAGGCGACGAUCAGUAGCUGGUCUGAGAGGAUGACCAGCCACACUGGGACUGAGACACGGCCCAGACCCCGGGGGGAGGCGGCGGGGGGGAAUGUUGGGAAGGGGGGGAAGGCGUGAGGCGCCCAGGCCGGGGGAGUGAGGAGGGUGUUAGUGUUGAAAAUUUCUUCCACGGGGGAGGAUAAGGAGGGUACCGGGAGAAGAAGCCCCGGCUAACUUCGUG